GUAUAUUUAUAUGGUACAUAUCUUUUACAUUAAAAGCUCUUUAUGUUAUUUAUUUAAAUAAAUUGAAAUAGAAGAUUAAUUUAAAUCUUUCAAAAAAUGAAAAUAGGUUUUUAAAAAGUCCUGGCGAAGCCUGUGCCAGCCGCCGCGGUUAUGCAGGCGGGGCAAAAAAAAUUUUUUUAUAGGGAAAAUUUUUUUGAAUGGAAGAAUAAUAGUAAGGUGAAAUUUUUAUUUUAAAUAGAAUGUUUGGAUUUUAGAAGUUUAUGUUAAAAGACUAGGAUUAGAUACCCUAUUAUUAUAAAUAAGAGAUUGGUAGUGGUUUUAGUUAGAUAAAAUCUAAAGAUUUUGGCGGUACUUUAAGCUUUUUAGAGGAAUUUAUUCUGUAAUUGAUAUGACACAAAAAUCUUACUUAAUUUAGUUAAGUCGGUUUGUAUAUCGCUAUCAUUAAGUAAUAUUGGUUAGUUAUUAUUGAAAUUAAUUUUUUUUAAAAAUGUUAGGUCAAAAUGCAGCAAAAAAUUAAGGAUGAAAUAAAUUACAAUGAUUAGUAUUUAAAGAGUAUGAAAUUUUUUUCUAGGAUUUAAUAGUAAGUUAGAAUUAUAAUGUUUAAUUGAAAAAAGCUCUGAAGUAUGCACAUAUCGCCCGUCACUCUCACUUGUGAGAUAAGUCGUAACAAAGUAAAAGUACCGGAAGGUGCUUU
rnacentral:rRNA from 1 species